rnacentral:rRNA from 1 species
UCCUACGGGGGGCAGCAGGCGCGAAAACUUUACAAUGCUGGCAACAGCGAUAAGGGGACCUCGAGUGCCAGGAUACAAUCUUGGCUGUCGUGAUGCCUAAAAAGCAUUGCAUAGCAAGGGCCGGGCAAGACCGGUGCCAGCCGCCGCGGUAACACCGGCGGCUCGAGUGGUAACCGCUAUUAUUGGGUCUAAAGGGUCUGUAGCCGGCCGGAUAAGUCUUUUGGGAAAUCCAGCUGCUCAACAGUUGGGCUUUCAGAAGAUACUGUUCGGCUCGAGGCCGGGAGAGGUGAGAGGUACUUCAGGGGUAGGGGUGAAAUCUUGUAAUCCUUGAAGGACCACCAGUGGCGAAGGCGUCUCACCAGAACGGUCCUGACGGCAAGGGACGAAAGCUAGGGGCACGAACCGGAUUAGAUACCCCUGUAGUCC